rnacentral:lncRNA from 1 species
UACAAGCGAUUGGAUUUGGACGAGGGGUUUACACAAACAUUCCUGAGUGCAUGGGGUUUCAUUAUUAAAAUGCUGCAAAAUUUGCAGGGAAUGGCUUAAAUUUGAAACCGCUGAUCCUGCAAUGGAUCAUAGUGGCAAUGUUCCAUUUUUAAGAAUACACGUUACUUUUAUUCUGUAAUAUUAAUGUUAUUUGAUCACAUGUAUUUAUUUUCUACCAAAGUCAACAUAUUAGGCACGAAAUUUAUUCCUUUU